ACCUACGGGAGGCAGCAGUGGGGAAUAUUGGACAAUGGGCGAAAGCCUGAUCCAGCAAUGCCGCGUGAAUGAUGAAGGCCUUAGGGUUGUAAAGUUCUUUUAGUGGGGAAGAUAAUGACGGUACCCACAGAAAAAGCACCGGCUAACUUCGUGCCAGCAGCCGCGGUAAUACGAAGGGUGCAAGCGUUGUUCGGAAUUACUGGGCGUAAAGCGCGCGUAGGCGGUUUGAUAAGUUGGAAGUGAAAUCCCGGGGCUUAACUCCGGAAUUGCUUUCAAAACUAUCAAUCUAGAAUAUGGCAGGGAACAGUGGAAUUCCUAGUGUAGAGGUGAAAUUCGUAGAUAUUAGGAGGAACACCAGUGGCGAAAGCGACUGUCUGGACCAUUAUUGACGCUGAGGCGCGAAAGCGUGGGGAGCAAACAGGAUUAGAUACCCUAGUAU
rnacentral:rRNA from 1 species